UACAGAGGUCUCGAGCGUUGUUCGGAUUCAUUGGGCGUAAAGGGUGCGUAGGUGGCGCUGUAAGUCGGGUGUGAAAUCCUGAGGCUUAACCUCGGAACUGCAUUCGAUACUGCGGCGCUUGAGGACUGGAGAGGAGACUGGAAUUCAUGGUGUAGCAGUGAAAUGCGUAGAGAUCAUGAGGAAGACCAGUGGCGAAGGCGGGUCUCUGGACAGUGACUGACGCUGAGACGCGAAAGCGUGGGGAGCAAACAGG
rnacentral:rRNA from 1 species